rnacentral:rRNA from 1 species
UAGAGUUUGAUCCUGGCUCAGAGCGAACGCUGGCAGCAGGCUUAACACAUGCAAGUCGAACGGUCCUUCGGGAUAGUGGCGGACGGGUGAGUAACACGUGGGAACGUACCCUUAGGUUCGGAACAACACAGGGAAACUUGUGCUAAUACCGGAUGAGCCCUUCGGGGGAAAGAUUUAUCGCCUUUGGAGCGGCCCGCGUCUGAUUAGCUAGUUGGUGAGGUAAUGGCUCACCAAGGCGACGAUCAGUAGCUGGUCUGAGAGGAUGGCCAGCCACACUGGGACUGAGACACGGCCCAGACUCCUACGGGAGGCAGCAGUGGGGAAUCUUGCGCAAUGGGCGAAAGCCUGACGCAGCCAUGCCGCGUGGAUGAUGAAGGUCUUAGGAUUGUAAAAUCCUUUCACCGGGGACGAUAAUGACGGUACCCGGAGAAGAAGCCCCGGCUAACUACGUGCCAGCAGCCGCGGUAAUACGUAGGGUGCGAGCGUUAAUCGGAAUUACUGGGCGUAAAGCGUGCGCAGGCGGUUAUGUAAGACAGAUGUGAAAUCCCCGGGCUCAACCUGGGAACUGCAUUAGUGACUGCAUAGCUGGAGUACGGCAGAGGGGGAUGGAAUUCCGCGUGUAGCAGUGAAAUGCGUAGAUAUGCGGAGGAACACCGAUGGCGAAGGCAAUCCCCUGGGCCUGUACUGACGCUCAUGCANGAAAGCGUGGGGAGCAAACANGAUUAGAUACCCUGGUAGUCCACGCCCUAAACGAUGUCAACUGGUUGUUGGGUCU